rnacentral:rRNA from 1 species
GAUAACCAUUGGAAACGAUGGCUAAUACCGCAUAAUGUCUACGGACCAAAGAGGGGGACCUUCGGGCCUCUCGCUUCAGGAUAUGCCCAGGUGGGAUUAGCUAGUUGGUGAGGUAAUGGCUCACCAAGGCGACGAUCCCUAGCUGGUCUGAGAGGAUGAUCAGCCACNCUGGAACUGAGACACGGUCCAGACUCCUACGGGAGGCAGCAGUGGGGAAUAUUGCACAAUGGGCGCAAGCCUGAUGCNNCCAUGCCGCGUGUAUGAAGAAGGCCUUCGGGUUGUANAGUACUUUCAGUCGUGAGGAAGGCGUUGNAGUUAAUAGCUUCNUCGNUUGACGUUAGCGACAGAAGAAGCACCGGCUAACUCCGUGCCAGCAGCCGCGGUAAUACGGAGGGUGCGAGCGUUAAUCGGAAUUACUGGGCGUAAAAGCGCAUGC